rnacentral:rRNA from 1 species
CAAUAGCGUAUAUUAAAGUUGUUGCGGUUAAAAAGCUCGUAGUUGGAUUUCUGCCGAGGACGACCGGUCCGCCCUCUGGGUGUGUAUCUGGCUCGGCCUGGGCAUCUUCUUGGAGAACGUAUCUGCACUUGACUGUGUGGUGCGGUAUCCAGGACUUUUACUUUGAGGAAAUUAGAGUGUUCACGGCAAGCUAUCGCUUUGAAUACAUUAGCAUGGAAUAAUGAUAUAGGGCGUAAGUUCUAUUUUGUUGGUUUCUAGGACGUACGCAAUGAUUAAUAGGGAUAAUUGGGGCAUUCGUAUUAACGCGUCAGAGGUGGAAUUCUUAGAUUGCGUUACGACGAACUACUGCGAAAGCAUUUGCCAAGGAUGUUUUCAUUGAUCAAGAACGAAAGUAUGGGGAUCGAAGACGAUUAGAUACCA